UACGAAGGGGGCUAGCGUUGCUCGGAAUCACUGGGCGUAAAGGGUGCGUAGGCGGGUUUUUAAGUCAGGGGUGAAAUCCUGGAGCUCAACUCCAGAACUGCCUUUGAUACUGAAGAUCUUGAGUCCGGGAGAGGUGAGUGGAACUGCGAGUGUAGAGGUGAAAUUCGUAGAUAUUCGCAAGAACACCAGUGGCGAAGGCGGCUCACUGGCCCGGUACUGACGCUGAGGCACGAAAGCGUGGGGGAGCAAACA
rnacentral:rRNA from 1 species